GCUCUCAGCCACUGCCCAGAGGCUCUGAGCCCUGUCACUGGCAGGGGCUGGGUGCCGUGAAGGUGGCACUCGGCCUCACACAACCUUACUGUGUGCAUGGUUUGUGGGGGCUCUUGGGGCAGACAAGGGGGGGUGACAGAGGGGAGAAGACAGCAUAUCCAAGGCUUGUGAACUAAUGAGUAACCAGCCCAGACAUCGAAGCCAGCGUGAGUUCUAGCCCUGCCUAACUCAAAUUCAAGCAAUGAGAUUACAUGAACACACAAGGCACUGGAGCCCAUGGAAAACCCAGGUAGGCCCUGGUUUUCUGUUUCUCUAGGCCUUGGGCCCCUUGGCUCAACCUACCAACAUUCAGGGUUAGGAGAGGAUCUGACAGCAGGGGGCGCGCCAAGCCUGGAUAUCACACUAAGCCUCAGCCG